AUUGAACGCUGGCGGCAGGCCUAACACAUGCAAGUCGAACGAGUGGCGGACGGGUGAGUAAUGUCUGGGAAACUGCCCGAUGGAGGGGGAUAACUACUGGAAACGGUCGCUAAUACCGCAUACCAUCGGAUGUGCCCAGAUGGGCUUAGCUUGUAGGUGAGGUAACGGCUCACCUAGGCGACGAUCCCUAGCUGGUCUGAGAGGAUGACCAGCCAAACUGGAACUGAGAAACGGUCCAGACUAAUACGGGAGGCAGAAGGGGGGAAUAUUGCACAAGGGGCGCAAGCCUGAUGCAGCCAGGCCGCGUGGAGGAAGAAGGCCGUCGGGUUGUAAAGUACGUGAAGCGGGGAGGCGGUACCCGCAGAAGAAGCACCGGCUAACUCAGUGCCAGCAGCCGCGGUAAUAC
rnacentral:rRNA from 1 species